CAUCACUCGGAAGUCCAACAGGAAAGAAAACGGAUUCUGUAAAUAGCCUGAAGUAAACGGUUUACUCAAGAAAUUAUGUGGGCGGGUGAUGACUGUAGAGAGUACUUCAGCUCACCUGACGGGGGGGGGGGGGCCCCUGACCAACACAGAGCUGGCCCUGGAGAGGGUGCCCAUCCAGGGGGGAGCACUGAGGAAACUCCCCCCUGCCACUCAGGAUGACCCAGACUAUUUCAACACACUCAGUCCAAUAAAUACCCCCAUGUCGUCUAGCUUUACUUCGUUCAUCAUCACUCGGAAGUCCAACAGGAAAGAAAACGGAUUCUGUAAAUAGCCUGAAGUAAACGGUUUACUCAAGGCAGACGCUGCACUAGUCUGAAAACUCACAGCCGCAGACAUGAUCAUCAGACUGGGACGCCUGACCCCUGGAUACUUCCGUCUCCUCCAGAGACAGGUGUCAGGUGAAGUCCAGAUGAAGCCACAGAACGGGUUAAUCAACCAGAUCGCCAUGAUGAUGGCCACGGUGGGCAUCAGUGUGUCCUUCUACAGCGCCCGGCAGAUGGCGGAGAGGGUCCUCCCUGAACAGUCUGACACCUAACCAGGGUUGGGGAGUAACUGAUUACAUGUAAUUACAUUUUAAUCAGUUACAUGCAAUCUG